rnacentral:misc_RNA from 1 species
CACCCCUCAAGCCAGGCUUGGUGUUGGGUGACGUCCUCUUUGGGGACGCGCCUCGAAACGUUCGGCGGCGUGGCACCGGCUUUAAGCGUAGCAGAAUCUUAUCUUUCGCUUUGAAAGUCGGGGCCACGUCUGCCGGAAGACCUACUCGCAA